GACAGAGAGAGAGAGAGAGAGGUACAGGUAUUCAGGGCUUGUCUGUACAGGUACAGGUGUUCAGGGUGUACAGGUGUUUAGAGUGUAGCGGGUGUUCAGGUGUAGCAGGUGUAUUGGGUGUACAGGUGUUCAGGGUGUAGCGGGUGUUGGGGUGUAGCGGGUGUUUAGAGUGUAGCGGGUGUUCAAGGUGUAUCUGUACAGGUGUAGCGGGUGUACAGGUGUAGCGGGUGUACAGGUGUUCAGGGUGUAGCGGGUGUUGGGGUGUAGCGGGUGUUUAGAGUGUAGCGGGUGUUCAGGGUGUAUC